GAUGAACGCUGACAGAAUGCUUAACACAUGCAAGUCAACUUGAACUUCGGUUUGGGUGGCGGACGGGUGAGUAACGCGUAAAGAACUUGCCUCACAGUUAGGGACAACAUUUGGAAACGAAUGCUAAUACCUGAUAUUAUGAUUUUAGGGCAUCCUAGAAUUAUGAAAGCUAUAUGCACUGUGAGAGAGCUUUGCGUCCCAUUAGCUAGUUGGAGAGGUAACGGCUCACCAAGGCGAUGAUGGGUAGCCGGCCUGAGAGGGUAAUCGGCCACAAGGGGACUGAGACACGGCCCUUACUCCUACGGGAGGCAGCAGUGGGGAAUAUUGGACAAUGGACCAAGAGUCUGAUCCAGCAAUUCUGUGUGCACGAUGAAGUUUUUCGGAAUGUAAAGUGCUUUCAGUUGGGAAGAAAAAAAUGACGGUACCAACAGAAGAAGUGACGGCUAAAUACGUGCCAGCAGCCGCGGUAAUACGUAUGUCACAAGCGUUAUCCGGAUUUAUUGGGCGUAAAGCGCGUCUAGGUGGUUAUGUAAGUCUGAUGUGAAAAUGCAGGGCUCAACUCUGUAUUGCGUUGGAAACUGUGUAACUAGAGUACUGGAGAGGUAAGCGGAACUACAAGUGUAGAGGUGAAAUUUGUAGAUAUUUGUAGGAAUGCCGAUGGGGAAGCCAGCUUACUGGACAGAUACUGACGCUGAAGCGCGAAAGCGUGGGUAGCAAACAGG
rnacentral:rRNA from 1 species